rnacentral:rRNA from 1 species
ACCGAAGCUUAGGCAAUGUAGUAAUACAUUGGGUAGGGGAGCGUUGUAUACGCGGUGAAACAGUAGCGCAAGCGGCUGUGGAGUGUAUAGAAGUGAGAAUGCCGGAAUGAGUAGCGCGAAUGCAGUGAGAAUCUGCAUGGCCGAAAGCCUCAGGUUUCUGGAGGAAGGUUCGUCCGCUCCAGGUUAGUCGGGAGCUAAGGUGAGGCCUAACGGCGUAGCCGAUGCACAGACGGUAGAGAUUCCGUCACCACCAAAAGAGUUAAACACAGGGACACAUAUGAAGUCUCGGAGCCGGGUGUUGGUUCCGGUAGCGAUCGAGGGAAAUUAGUACCGAAGUCCGGGAUGGAAGAUGGCGAGAAAAGCUGUGUGUAUUUCUGCGGUGCCCGUACCGCAAACCGACACAGGUAGGUAGGAAGAAGAUUCUAAGGCCAACGGGAGAAGGGUUGUUAAGGAACUCGGCAAAUUGACCCCGUAACUUCGGGAGAAGGGGUGCUCCAGCGAUGGAGCCGCAGAGAAUCGGCCCAAGCAACUGUUUACCAAAAACACAGGUUUGUGCUAAAUCGAAAGAUGACGUAUACGAGCUGACGCCUGCCCGGUGCUGGAAGGUUAAGAGGAGAUGUGCAAGCAUUGAAUCGAAGCCCCAGUGAACGGCGGCCGUAACUAUAACGGUCCUAAGGUAGCGAAAUUCCUUGUCAGGUAAGUUCUGACCCGCAUGAAAGGCGUAAUGAUUUGGGCACUGUCUCGACAGCCCGCCCGGCGAAAUUGUAGUACCGGUGAAGAUGCCGGUUACCCGCGACAAGACGGAAAGACCCCAUGGAGCUUUACUGUAGCCUAAUAUUGGGUUUCGAUGUUGCAUGCACAGGAUAGAUGGGACACAGGGAAGUGAUCGCUUUGGCGGUCAUGGAGUGGCCGUUGGGAUACCAUCCUUGCGAUAUUGGAAUUCUAACCUGCGCCUUUGAAUCAAGGCGGGGGACAUUGUUAGGUGGGCAGUUUGACUGGGGCGGUCGCCUCCUAAAGAGUAACGGAGGCGUUCAAAGGUUCGCUCAGCUUGAACGGAAAUCAAGCAAAAGAGUGCAAACGCAGAAGCGAGCCUAACUGCGAGACUGACGGGUCGAGCAGUAACGAAAGUUGGAGUUAGUGAUCCGGUGGUAUGUGAGUGGAAAUGCCAUCGCUCAACGGAUAAAAGUUACCCUGGGGAUAACAGGCUGAUCUCCCCCAAGAGUCCACAUCGACGGGGAGGUUUGGCAC